rnacentral:tRNA from 1 species
ACCUCUGUAGCUCAACGGAUAGAGCGCCAGUUUACGAAGCUGGAUAUGGGAGUUCGAUUCUCUCCAGGGGUG